rnacentral:rRNA from 1 species
UACGAAGGGGGCUAGCGUUGUCCGGAUUUAUUGGGCGUAAAGAGCGUGUAGGCGGCUAGGUAGGUCCGUUGUGAAAACUCGAGGCUCAACCUCGAGACGUCGAUGGAAACCAUCUAGCUAGAGUCCGGAAGAGGAGAGUGGAAUUCCUGGUGUAGCGGUGAAAUGGGCAGAUAUCAGGAAGAACACCCGUGGCGAAGGCGGCUCUCUGGUACAUGACUGACGCUGAGACGCGAAAGCGUGGGGAGCGAACAGG